AAGUGGAGCAAUCCAUGAGUAAAGUGGCGCACGGGUGAGUAACACGUGAAUUAUCUACCUCCGAGUGGGGAAUAACUGAGAGAAAUCUUAGCUAAUACCGCAUAACACUUACGAGUCAAAGCAGCAAUGCGCUUGGAGAGGAGUUCGCGGCAGAUUAGUUAGUUGGCGGGGUAAUGGCCCACCAAGACGAUGAUCUGUAUCCGGCCUGAGAGGGCGCACGGACACACUGGAACUGAAACACGGUCCAGACUCCUACGGGAGGCAGCAGUGGGGAAUUUUGCGCAAUGGGGGAAACCCUGACGCAGCAACGCCGCGUGGAGGAUGAAAUAUCUUGGUAUGUAAACUCCUUUCGAUGGGGAAGAUUAUGACGGUACCCAUAGAAGAAGCCCCGGCUAACUUCGUGCCAGCAGCCGCGGUAAUACGAGGGGGGCAAGCGUUGUUCGGAAUUAUUGGGCGUAAAGGGUGCGUAGGCGGUUUGGCAAGUCUUAUGUGAAAUCUUCGGGCUCAACCCGAAGUCUGCAUGAGAAACUGCCGGGCUUGAGUAUGGGAGAGGUGAGUGGAAUUUCCGGUGUAGCGGUGAAAUGCGUAGAUAUCGGAAGGAACACCUGUGGCGAAAGCGGCUCACUGGACCAUAACUGACGCUGAGGCACGAAAGCUAGGGGAGCAAACAGGAUUAGAUACCCUGGUAGUCCUAGCCCUAAACGAUGAUUGCUUGGUGUGGCAGGUAACCAAUCCUGCCGUGCCGAAGCUAACGCGAUAAGCAAUCC
rnacentral:rRNA from 1 species